rnacentral:rRNA from 1 species
UGCGGGAGGCAGCAGUGGGGAAUUUUGGACAAUGGGCGAAAGCCUGAUCCAGCAAUGCCGCGUGAGUGAAGAAGGCCUUCGGGUUGUAAAGCUCUUUUGUCAGGGAAGAAACGGUGAGAGCUAAUAUCUUUUGCUAAUGACGGUACCUGAAGAAUAAGCACCGGCUAACUACGUGCCAGCAGCCGCGGUAAUACGUAGGGUGCAAGCGUUAAUCGGAAUUACUGGGCGUAAAGCGUGCGCAGGCGGUUUUGUAAGUCUGAUGUGAAAUCCCCGGGCUCAACCUGGGAAUUGCAUUGGAGACUGCAAGGCUAGAAUCUGGCAGAGGGGGGUAGAAUUCCACGUGUAGCAGUGAAAUGCGUAGAUAUGUGGAGGAACACCGAUGGCGAAGGCAGCCCCCUGGGUCAAGAUUGACGCUCAUGCACGAAAGCGUGGGGAGCAAACAGGAUUAGAAACCCUAGUAGUCCCAUGA